rnacentral:lncRNA from 1 species
GUCAAAGCUUGUUUGGAGAGUUCUGAAUGGAAAGAGCUUGAGCCGCAGAGAAUACAAUUUGCUUGUCAGAACAAUGUCUGACAUGUUCCGUCUUGUUCCUUUCUCCGUUUUCAUCAUUGUUCCUUUCAUGGAAUUCCUUUUGCCAGUGUUCAUCAAAUUUUUCCCAGAAUGUUACCAUCAACUUUUUCAACUUCUUCAGAUAAAGAAGCAAAAAUUGUACAAAACCUAAAAAUCAAACUGGAAAUGGCAAAGUUCCUUCAAAAAACUUUGGACAACAUGUCAGUCCAUGGAGUUGAUGAUGGCAACCCAUCAGAAUCAGCUGCCAAACUCGCAGAAUUCUUCAAAAAGUAAGUUUUUUUUUUUUUUUUCAUUUCCUCCUUUCUUGCUUUGCUUUGGCACAAAACCAACUCCUAAUGUCACAACAUCGAUAAGGAGCAAAAUUCGUAAAGGCAUAGUGCUAAAAAAUUGAAACCAUUUGUCGACAUUCAGUGCUAGAAGGAAAAUAUUCUGCUGUCUUUAUCAUGUGUGUUUUAAAUGCAAUUAAAAUGCUAAUUAAAUUACUGAAUACACUGUAAAUGCUUCAAGUAUCCCUAGAAAUCGGACCUAAUGUGAGGGGAGGAAAUGUGUGCAGAAAAAUCAGACUUUAUCUUGGAAGUCCGUGGGUCAAAUUAGAAAAACUCAUAACUUGUUAUGAAACUGAGAGUAUGAUCAGUAAAAUACCUUUUAAAGUUUUGUGAGAAACUAUCACAAUCUGUAUUUGCAGAGAAAAAAUAAAAAACUUACUGACUGGGAUUCCCUUGUAUCAGUCAACUUCUUGUCCAAAUUGAGCUUCUGAUUUGCCAUCAUCUAAUUUGGUUCAUGGCACAGGACAGUAUUUCUUAAAUAUUGAUUUUUGUUUCAUUCAUGCUGGCGCCAAUUGUCCAAACUAAUGCGAAACCUCAAAUCUAGUAUAUAAGAUUCAAGGGGGGAGGGGGGAGGAUCAGGAACUUAAAUCUCUCAGCAGUGUUAUAAUUGUUUGCACAUAAUAUGAAUGAAGAAAUGUUCAAAAGCAGGCGUGGGUAAGCAGGCGGGAACAUUGGGAAAAAUCCUGAUGAGCUAGUUGAUAUCUAGGAUGAUUUCAGAACAAUUUGUCCUCUCCUCAUGGCUAAAAUACAAUUGCACAGGGUUGCCAGCGACCGGGAAAAGUCAGGGAAAAAAACCAACCGGGAAAAGACAGGGAAUUUCGGUGUUGGUCAGGGAUUUUUCUGAUUUUUCAUAGAAUUAGGCGCGGACGGUUCUAAAAUUUAAAUAGUCGAAAAUAGCUCUCAUUUUCACUUUAACAGACUGCGUCAGAUCCAUACUUAAAAGUCAGGGAAAAAUAUUGGAAAGUCAGGGAAAAGUCAGGGAAUGGAAAAAAAUAAUUUGGCUGGCAACCCUGAUUGCCACAGGGUUUGUAUUCCUGAUUUCCUGGUAAAUUUUUUAGACCCAGUCAGCCGCUGUUUGAGACAACUUGGAAGGCCCAGCUAAAAUACCGAAUCCAGCAGUUUCCAGAUUGCAUGAUUGGCAAAAAAAUCUUUGAGAAAGUGGGAAACUUUUCAUCCAAUGAAUGAUCAAUAAAAUUGACAGAAUAAUAUUGAAGAUUUAAUAAUUUCUUUUUACUUGCAAACAUUAUGAGCACUUUUGUCUGUCUGAAAUGUGAGGAAAUUCUCUAUACGCAUGACUAAUCUCAGGAUAUAUUGCAACCCAUGCAAACCGCGAUUUGGCCCCUCCCCCCCCCCCUCUUUCAGUCAAUAAGUAGAUGGGGGAUAAAAAGUGAAGUAUAUUUUAGGGUCAUCACCCACGCACAAAUAAGUAGAAUUACACUUUGUUUUUUGGUUUUUUUUUUGUUUUUUUUAGAAUUCUGUGUUGGAAUUUUUUAUGCUUGAAAAUUAUGUGCUGAGAAGAAUAUGAGAAUCUCUUAAAAGUUACAGAAAUAAACGAAAUAAGAGAAAUUCAGGCACUUUUUGCGGUUGGUGCCUCUCGCAAGUCCAUACUUUUUGUGAUCCUUGCAUCAAGCUUGAAAACGAAGAGGGAAUUCUUGAAAGUUAAAAAAAAAAGCAACCACUUGUCCUUAAGUUAAACUCAAGAUCUUAGUCAAGAUCUUCCUCAUAUAUUUUUGAAACAAAUUUGAAGGGAAACACUGCAAGCCAAAAAAUGUCAAGCUAAGUAGUUUUUUUGCACCUUUAAAUGAAUAUUACAUGAAUUUCUUGCUUUUCCUAAAUCAUAAUUUUUACGUAGAAAUGUUCAGAAAUUUUAAACAAUUGGUUUAUGAAUUUGGUGUUGUAGCAGUCAACUAGAAUCAUCAGUUACAUUGCUGCAAAAUUGCAUCUUUACUUUCUUGGCAGACUCAUGCUUGUGGAUUUUUCCUCCUUUAUAAGCUUUCAUAUCCCCUUUAAGGAAUGUGAGCCGUCAUAGAGAACUUGCAUCAUUAACCAAGUAUAACACAUAUGUGCUUGAUCAGGGACUGAGUACAGUGGCAUGUUCUGAUAUCUUUUCGAGAGCUUUAUCAAAACGGUCAGUGGUGAUGAUUGGCUCAGCAAGUUUAAGAGAAGGGAAAACAAUUAAUCCAGUCAAAAAAAUAAGUUAUCUUCCAAUUUGCAAGUUCGUGACCUCUUAUCUUCCUUCGCUGUCACAAUGACACGGUUUAUUCACUAUGAUUACAUGCUUAAUAAAGUAUCAGGAGGAGAAAAUAUCUGUUUCGUUUCGGAAAGUUAUAAGUGUUUAAAAGUAUUUCAUAGACAUCCAAUAUUUUCUCACUACUCUGAGUAGCUGUUACAGUGUAUUUAAGAGGCAAAACACCAAUUAUUUUGAGAUAUUUUGGAGUCAAUUAAAAUACCUUGGAAAGUAGGGAGGCCUCUCUUGCUAUCAGUCAAGGGGCUAAAUUUUGAGAGGGUAGAAAUUACUUGGAGUGAUUAAUGAAAGGUUUUAGAGGAAAUCAUCAACAAUUAAAUGCAGUCCUGUAGAGCUAAUUCUAAAAAUACGCCAAGUUGUGGUUUUUUCAGAUAAGCCGGAAAUCCUGGUGUGUUUUUAAGUGUUUUAACUGACAAUGAGUCAUGUUAAUUUCACUUUUCGAUGAUGGCGAUUAACCUCUCUGUAUUUUGAUUUAACAAUCAAACUGUUACAAGUGAAUUCUAUUUUAUUUAUUUACUAGUACCAGUGCUCCUCCAAAUUAUGAGCACUUCCUAAGAACUCACACUUUUGCAAAGUUAAGUUGUCAGUCAGAUGAGAAAUUUUUCACCACUUAGUCAAUUUUUUAUUUCUCGCAGAAUAACUGCCAACAGUUUUUAUGAAUGACAUGUGAUCUAUACCCGGCCACCAGUAAAGUGGUGCCAUUCCAUGAGUGUCAUUAGCUCUUGAACAGUGAUUUGUUGUUUUCAAGGUUGCCCAGUCUCUGAGUCUGUGUAACCUUGAUCUUCCCCUCUCCCUCCCAUCAAGAAGUUUCCACACUUUUAUCAUAAGCUUUCCUACCUGGUUUAUCGUUCAUUUAUCGAAUUUGAAAGACAAUGGAGGGUAAUUAUUGAGUGUUGUCAGCUUUUCUCCAUGAACUACUCACCAUCACAAAGAGACCGGAGGGUUUAAAAAAGGUCCUCAGCUCAUUUCUUUUUAUUUUCUUCUUUAUUCAUCAUUCAUUUAUUAUCAUUUUUUUAAUCAAAAUUUUCGUUUCCUCUCAUCAUCUAUCACUGUAACAACUUUAUAUUAUUGAAAAUUUUAGCAUUUUGAAUAUUUCCGAUUUUGUUUUACGGACUUUUUUACAGAAAGGAGAUCAAACCUCGUGAUUUUACUUAUAUCCUGGUGCAUCUCAUGCUUAGACAAAGAUAGUCUUUCAAUUACCCAAUUCCUUGCUUGGUCCAGGUAUUUUCAGUUUGCUGUGGUAAGAAGAUGAAAAAUAACUGCUCUGACAACUUAUUUUUAACCUUUAAAAAAAAUUUCAAAAAUGCUUGCGGAAACCUUUAAAUUUGAUUAUUUUAAAUGUAACAAGGAAUGUUACCUGCUGUAAAUUAAAUCGAAUUAAGAAAUUGAGGAGGUAUGUAAUUAGGAGCAGUUAUUCCGAGAAGCUGUUCGCAUUUUAUCAAUAUUUUAUGUUUUCUUUGGAUCACCAACAAAGGACUAGCGUCAAAUUGUACUUAUUAUUUGUUUUGUUUUUUCUG